rnacentral:rRNA from 1 species
GACGAACGCUGGCGGCGUGCCUAAUACAUGCAAGUCGAGCGGACGGAUGGGAGCUUUCUCCCAGACCGUGAGCGGCGGACGGGUGAGUAACACGUGGGCAACCUGCCUGUAAGACUGGGAUAACUUCGGGAAACCGGGUUUAAUACCGGAGAACUCUUUCACUCAUUAGAGGGAAAGCUGAAAUGUGGUAGCUUGCUAUCAGUUACAGGGUGGGCCGCGGGGUAUUGGCUGGUUGGUGAGGUAACGGCUCAGGAGGGGGGCAAUGAGUAGCCGACCUGAGAGGGUGAUCGGUCACAGGGGGGCUGAGACGAGGCCCAGACUCCUACGGGAGGCAGCGGUCGGGAACUUUCGGCAAUGGGCGGAAGUGUGACGGAGCAACGGCGCGUGAGUGAUGAAGGGUUACGGAUCGUAAGACUCUGUUGUCAGGGAAGAACAAGUGCCGUAGUAACUGCGAAUAUCUUGACGGUACCUGACCAAAAAGCCCCGGCUAACUACGUG